ensembl:snRNA U6 U6 spliceosomal RNA
AUGCUCGCUUCGGCAGCACAUACACUAAAAUUGGAACUAUACAGAGAUUAGCAUGGCCCCUGCACAAGGAUAACCGCAAAUUUGUGAAGCGUUCCAUAUUUUU